UAACUCCCAUACAAUGUUGUCCCUAUCUGUCCAUUUCCUGUACAAUACUCCAUGUCUCAGUUCAAGCCUUCUCCACUCCUUGAGAAGGAGCCUAACAUCAGGAGCUUCAAAGUUUGUUUCUCUGAAACUGGGCUUUUGAGCUCUUUCAACGAAGGUGAUGACACGUGAGACAACCGGGUCAUCCCUCUGAGCUUUAUACCAGUCAGAGCUUGUCAUAGAUGGUAAUGUGUCUUCUCCAAAUACAUCCGCAACUGUUGAGGGAUCAACAGCAAGAGACUCUACAGCCAAAGGUUGUUCUAGAUUUGAACAGUGCUCGAUCUUUGACACCACAAGAUGGCGCUGACAUAAGUUUCAGUUCUACAAUUCAAUUUCAGUUCCAAAAUUCAGUUUUUUGGGACUUACAUCCGGUUCCGGUUCAAGCGCAGAUUAAUAGAACUACAGACUGAUAGCGUUACUGACGGAAUCUACAGCGUCUUGAGCUGAAUUAAGACUUCAGAAGUCAAUCAUGUCGAAUGACCAGCGGAUAAACUCUCAGGUGUUUUGUGCCAGAAAUGGAGUGUCCACUGAAGACUGAAGAUACUGAAUCUCUACGCCGUGCCAUUGAUCCCUCCUGUGCCUUCAUCUAGACAAGAGACAUUAACUUAACCACUCUCACAUGCUCUGUACCUACAUCACCUUCCCUGACAGUCGUAGCUUGGCUCAUCUGAGGGUGAAAUUAUAAGAAUGUGUUAUUUUGCAAAGUGCUCUCUAGGGUUCCUAAAUAAAAUAUGGCAUUGAGGUCAUUUCUUUUGAAUUAAUCCCUUCUUCUGAAAUAUAAGAUCCUCUCCUGGUUUAAAUGGCACUUUCUGUUCCUUACUUCCUGUUCCACUCCCAACCCCAAAUAGAUGCUGACAAGCUGACACAGUAACAUGGAAGAGGGAAAGAAGCUGGAAAGGACUACUACAAAUAAACCUAAUGCCUAACAAUGAAAAAUGUAAAAUAAGAAAAAUAAUAAUAAAGAUAAAAGAUGAAGUAACAAGUUUUUUGUUUUUUUGUUUAUUCCAAAUGAUCAUCCAGAUGUCUGUGACAUGUGAUGACAAACACCAUAAUGGAAGGCCUUUGUCAUCACAUGCUUAAACUCAGCAUAUAUUUUUGCAUAUGCUGAACAGGCAGUCAGACAUGCUGUAACUGUG
ensembl:lncRNA